UGACAGUAAGCUCCUCACUC
rnacentral:misc_RNA from 1 species